rnacentral:rRNA from 1 species
UGACCUCGGAUCAGGUAGGGAUACCCGCUGAACUUAAGCAUAUCAAUAAGCGGAGGAAAAGAAACCAACAGGGAUUGCCCCAGUAACGGCGAGUGAAGCGGCAAGAGCUCAAAUUUGAAAGCUGGCUCCUUCGGGGUCCGCAUUGUAAUUUGCAGAGGAUGCUUCGGGAGCGGCCCCCAUCUAAGUGCCCUGGAACGGGCUGUCAUAGAGGGUGAGAAUCCCGUCUGGGAUGGGGUGCCCGCGCCCGUGUGAAGCUCCUUCGACGAGUCGAGUUGUUUGGGAAUGCAGCUCUAAAUGGGUGGUAAAUUUCAUCUAAAGCUAAAUAUUGGCCGGAGACCGAUAGCGCACAAGUAGAGUGAUCGAAAGAUGAAAAGCACUUUGAAAAGAGAGUUAAAAAGCACGUGAAAUUGUUGAAAGGGAAGCGUUUGCGACCAGACUCGCCUACGGGGUUCAGCCUGCCUUCGGGCGGGUGUACUUCCCCGUGGGCGGGCCAGCGUCGGUUUGGGCGGCCGGUCAAAGGCCCUCGGAAUGUAACGCCUCUCGGGGCGUCUUAUAGCCGAGGGUGCCAUGCGGCCUGCCCGGACCGAGGAACGCGCUUCGGCUCGGACGCUGGCUUAAUGGUCGUAAACGACC